rnacentral:misc_RNA from 1 species
UUAAGUUCAGCGGGUAGUCCUACCUGAUUUGAGGUCAGAGUCAAAAGGUUUCUGCACAGGGGCAAGAAGGGUUGUCAGCAGGCUUGACGCUUUGCAAUGGACAAGACGAAACUUAUUACGUCUGUCACGGAUGCUAGCGAUCCCACUAAGUCAUUUGAGGCGAGCCGUGUGACCGGCAGACGCCCAUGUCCAAGUCACCG